AUUGAACGCUGGCGGCAUGCCUUACACAUGCAAGUCGAACGGCAGCACGGGAGCAAUCCUGGUGGCGAGUGGCGAACGGGUGAGUAAUAUAUCGGAACGUGCCCAGUCGUGGGGGAUAACGUAGCGAAAGCUACGCUAAUACCGCAUACGAUCUAUGGAUGAAAGCGGGGGAUCGCAAGACCUCGCGCGAUUGGAGCUGCCGAUAUAAGAUUAGGUAGUCGGUAGGGUAAAGGCUCACCAAGCCGACGAUCUGUAGCUGGUCUGAGAGGACGACCAGCCACACUGGAACUGAGACACGGUCCAGACACCUACGGGAGGCAGCAGUGGGGAAUUUUGGACAAUGGGCGCAAGCCUGAUCCAGCAAUGCCGCGUGCAGGAUGAAGGCCUUCGGGUUGUAAACUGCUUUUGUACGGAACGAAACGGUGAGCUCUAAUACAGUUUGCUAAUGACGGUACCGUAAGAAUAAGCACCGGCUAACUACGUGCCAGCCGCCGCAGUAA
rnacentral:rRNA from 1 species